rnacentral:rRNA from 3 species
AGCUCCAAUAGCGUAUAUUUAAGUUGCUGCAGUUAAAAAGCUCGUAGUUGGAUUUCGGGUGGGAAUGGCCGGUCCGCCGUUUCGGUGUGCACUUGCUACGCCCACCUUGCUGCCGGGGACGUGCUCUUGAGUUCACGCUCGGGACACGGAGUCGGCGAGGUUACUUUGAGUAAAUUAGAGUGUUCAAAGCAGGCCUACGCUCUGAAUACAUUAGCAUGGAAUAACACGAUAGGACUCUGGCCUAUCUUGUUGGUCUGUAGGACCGGAGUAAUGAUUAAGAGGGACAGUCGGGGGCAUUCGUAUUUCAUUGUCAGAGGUGAAAUUCUUGGAUUUAUGAAAGACGAACUACUGCGAAAGCAUUUGCCAAGGAUGUUUUCAUUA